rnacentral:rRNA from 1 species
AGCGUACACGGUGGAUGCCCUGGCAGUCAGAGGCGAUGAAGGACGUGCUAAUCUGCGAUAAGCGUCGGUAAGGUGAUAUGAACCGUUAUAACCGGCGAUUUCCGAAUGGGGAAACCCAGUGUGAUUCGUCACACUAUCAUUAACUGAAUCCAUAGGUUAAUGAGGCGAACCGGGGGAACUGAAACAUCUAAGUACCCCGAGGAAAAGAAAUCAACCGAGAUUCCCCCAGUAGCGGCGAGCGAACGGGGAGCAGCCCAGAGCCUGAAUCAGUGUGUGUGUUAGUGGAAGCGUCUGGAAAGGCGCGCGAUACAGGGUGACAGCCCCGUACACAAAAAUGCACAUGCUGUGAGCUCGAUGAGUAGGGCGGGACACGUGGUAUCCUGUCUGAAUAUGGGGGGACCAUCCUCCAAGGCUAAAUACUCCUGACUGACCGAUAGUGAACCAGUACCGUGAGGGAAAGGCGAAAAGAACCCCGGCGAGGGGAGUGAAAAAGAACCUGAAACCGUGUACGUACAAGCAGUGGGAGCACGCUUAGGCGUGUGACUGCGUACCUUUUGUAUAAUGGGUCAGCGACUUAUAUUCUGUAGCAAGGUUAACCGAAUAGGGGAGCCGAAGGGAAACCGAGUCUUAACUGGGCGUUAAGUUGCAGGGUAUAGACCCGAAACCCGGUGAUCUAGCCAUGGGCAGGUUGAAGGUUGGGUAACACUAACUGGAGGACCGAACCGACUAAUGUUGAAAAAUUAGCGGAUGACUUGUGGCUGGGGGUGAAAGGCCAAUCAAACCGGGAGAUAGCUGGUUCUCCCCGAAAGCUAUUUAGGUAGCGCCUCGUGAAUUCAUCUCCGGGGGUAGAGCACUGUUUCGGCAAGGGGGUCAUCCCGACUUACCAACCCGAUGCAAACUGCGAAUACCGGAGAAUGUUAUCACGGGAGACACACGGCGGGUGCUAACGUCCGUCGUGAAGAGGGAAACAACCCAGACCGCCAGCUAAGGUCCCAAAGUCAUGGUUAAGUGGGAAACGAUGUGGGAAGGCCCAGACAGCCAGGAUGUUGGCUUAGAAGCAGCCAUCAUUUAAAGAAAGCGUAAUAGCUCACUGGUCGAGUCGGCCUGCGCGGAAGAUGUAACGGGGCUAAACCAUGCACCGAAGCUGCGGCAGCGACACUGUGUGUUGUUGGGUAGGGGAGCGUUCUGUAAGCCUGUGAAGGUGUGCUGUGAGGCAUGCUGGAGGUAUCAGAAGUGCGAAUGCUGACAUAAGUAACGAUAAAGCGGGUGAAAAGCCCGCUCGCCGGAAGACCAAGGGUUCCUGUCCAACGUUAAUCGGGGCAGGGUGAGUCGACCCCUAAGGCGAGGCCGAAAGGCGUAGUCGAUGGGAAACAGGUUAAUAUUCCUGUACUUGGUGUUACUGCGAAGGGGGGACGGAGAAGGCUAUGUUGGCCGGGCGACGGUUGUCCCGGUUUAAGCGUGUAGGCUGGUUUUCCAGGCAAAUCCGGAAAAUCAAGGCUGAGGCGUGAUGACGAGGCACUACGGUGCUGAAGCAACAAAUGCCCUGCUUCCAGGAAAAGCCUCUAAGCAUCAGGUAACAUCAAAUCGUACCCCAAACCGACACAGGUGGUCAGGUAGAGAAUACCAAGGCGCUUGAGAGAACUCGGGUGAAGGAACUAGGCAAAAUGGUGCCGUAACUUCGGGAGAAGGCACGCUGAUAUGUAGGUGAAGUCCCUCGCGGAUGGAGCUGAAAUCAGUCGAAGAUACCAGCUGGCUGCAACUGUUUAUUAAAAACACAGCACUGUGCAAACACGAAAGUGGACGUAUACGGUGUGACGCCUGCCCGGUGCCGGAAGGUUAAUUGAUGGGGUCAGCGCAAGCGAAGCUCUUGAUCGAAGCCCCGGUAAACGGCGGCCGUAACUAUAACGGUCCUAAGGUAGCGAAAUUCCUUGUCGGGUAAGUUCCGACCUGCACGAAUGGCGUAAUGAUGGCCAGGCUGUCUCCACCCGAGACUCAGUGAAAUUGAACUCGCUGUGAAGAUGCAGUGUACCCGCGGCAAGACGGAAAGACCCCGUGAACCUUUACUAUAGCUUGACACUGAACAUUGAGCCUUGAUGUGUAGGAUAGGUGGGAGGCUUGGAAGUGUGGACGCCAGUCUGCAUGGAGCCGACCUUGAAAUACCACCCUUUAAUGUUUGAUGUUCUAACGUUGACCCGUAAUCCGGGUUGCGGACAGUGUCUGGUGGGUAGUUUGACUGGGGCGGUCUCCUCCUAAAGAGUAACGGAGGAGCACGAAGGUUGGCUAAUCCUGGUCGGACAUCAGGAGGUUAGUGCAAUGGCAUAAGCCAGCUUGACUGCGAGCGUGACGGCGCGAGCAGGUGCGAAAGCAGGUCAUAGUGAUCCGGUGGUUCUGAAUGGAAGGGCCAUCGCUCAACGGAUAAAAGGUACUCCGGGGAUAACAGGCUGAUACCGCCCAAGAGUUCAUAUCGACGGCGGUGUUUGGCACCUCGAUGUCGGCUCAUCACAUCCUGGGGCUGAAGUAGGUCCCAAGGGUAUGGCUGUUCGCCAUUUAAAGUGGUACGCGAGCUGGGUUUAGAACGUCGUGAGACAGUUCGGUCCCUAUCUGCCGUGGGCGCUGGAGAACUGAGGGGGGCUGCUCCUAGUACGAGAGGACCGGAGUGGACGCAUCACUGGUGUUCGGGUUGUCAUGCCAAUGGCACUGCCCGGUAGCUAAAUGCGGAAGAGAUAAGUGCUGAAAGCAUCUAAGCACGAAACUUGCCCCGAGAUGAGUUCUCCCUGACUCCUUGA